rnacentral:rRNA from 1 species
UACGUAGGGGGCUAGCGUUGUCCGGAAUCAUUGGGCGUAAAGAGCGUGUAGGCGGUCCGGUAAGUCCGCUGUGAAAGUCGGGGGCUCAACCCUCGGAUGCCGGUGGAUACUGUCGGGCUAGAGUGCGGAAGAGGCGAGUGGAAUUCCUGGUGUAGCGGUGAAAUGCGCAGAUAUCAGGAGGAACACCAAUUGCGAAGGCAGCUCGCUGGGACGUGACUGACGCUGAGACGCGAAAGCGUGGGGAGCAAACAGG